AACGAACGCUGGCGGCAGGCUUAACACAUGCAAGUCGAACGAAGUCUUCGGACUUAGUGGCGCACGGGUGAGUAACACGUGGGAAUAUACCUCUUGGUGGGGAAUAACAUCGGGAAACUGAUGCUAAUACCGCAUACGCCCUUCGGGGAAGAUUUAUCGCCGAGAGAUUAGCCCGCGUCCGAUUAGCUAGUUGGUGAGGUAAUGGCUCACCAAGGCGACGAUCGGUAGCUGGUCUGAGAGGAUGAUCAGCCACACUGGGACUGAGACACGGCCCAGACUCCUACGGGAGGCAGCAGUGGG
rnacentral:rRNA from 1 species